AUGUAAUGAAAUUCCUACAACAUUAAUGCACUGAAUCCCAUUAGAACUCCAUAGUUAAGAGUACUUGGGGUAGAUUAGUACUGGGAUGGGUGACCUCCCAGGAAGUCUUAGUGUUUUACAUG
rfam:Picea glauca, whole genome shotgun sequence.